CCUACGGGAGGCAGCAGUGAGGAAUAUUGGUCAAUGGGCGCGAGCCUGAACCAGCCAAGUCGCGUGAGGGAAGACGGCCCUACGGGUUGUAAACUUCUUUUCUCAGGGACGAAGCAAGUGACGGUACCUGAGGAAUAAGCCACGGCUAACUACGUGCCAGCAGCCGCGGUAAUACGUAGGUGGCAAGCGUUAUCCGGAUUUACUGGGUGUAAAGGGCGUGUAGGCGGGAAAGCAAGUCAGAUGUGAAAACCAUGGGCUCAACCUGUGGCCUGCAUUUGAAACUGUUUUUCUUGAGUACUGGAGAGGCAGACGGAAUUCCUAGUGUAGCGGUGAAAUGCGUAGAUAUUAGGAGGAACACCAGUGGCGAAGGCGGUCUGCUGGACAGCAACUGACGCUGAGGCGCGAAAGCGUGGGGAGCAAACAGGAUUAGAUACCCUUGUAGUC
rnacentral:rRNA from 1 species